rnacentral:rRNA from 1 species
AUUGAACGCUGGCGGCAGGCCUAACACAUGCAAGUCGAACGGUAACAGGUCUUCGGAUGCUGACGAGUGGCGAACGGGUGAGUAAUACAUCGGAACGUGCCCGAUCGUGGGGGAUAACGAAGCGAAAGCUUUGCUAAUACCGCAUAAGAUCUACGGAUGAAAGCAGGGGACCGCAAGGCCUUGCGCGAACGGAGCGGCCGAUGGCAGAUUAGGUAGUUGGUGGGAUAAAAGCUUACCAAGCCGACGAUCUGUAGCUGGUCUGAGAGGUCGACCAGCCACACUGGGACUGAGACACGGCCCAGACUCCUACGGGAGGCAGCAGUGGGGAAUUUUGGACAAUGGGCGAAAGCCUGAUCCAGCCAUGCCGCGUGCAGGAUGAAGGCCUUCGGGUUGUAAACUGCUUUUGUACGGAACGAAAAGACUCUUUCUAAUAAAGAGGGUCCAUGACGGUACCGUAAGAAUAAGCACCGGCUAACUACGUGCCAGCCGCCGCGGUAACAC